AUUAUAAAUUGGCUUUUAAUUAGAGUCUGGAAUGAAUGGGAUUUUUAAAGUUAAGCUGUCAUAGUAAUAUUAGUUUUAACUUAUUUAUUUGGUGAAAAUACCAAAAUAUUUUUAAAAAGACGAGAAGACUCUAAGAAUUUAAAUUAUUUUUAUUGGGGCGACAAAAAGACAGUUAAACUCUAAUUUUUUGUUUUCUAAAACGAAAUUUAAAAAAAUAAAAUUACCUUAGGGAUAACAGCAUAAUUAGUUUUUUACUGUUUAUGACCUCGAUGUUGGACUAGAAUAUUUUUUAGUUAGUCGCUAAAAAAUUAUGUUCUGUUCGAACAAAUUAUUUCU
rnacentral:rRNA from 1 species